CUACGGGGGGCUGCAGUUAGGAAUAAUCUACAAUGCGCGAAAGCGUGAUAGUUUGAAUCAGAGUGCGCUUCAAUUUGAAGUGCUUUUGCUAAAUGUAAAAAGUUUAGCGAAUAAGGACUGGGUAAGACGAGUGCCAGCCGCCGCGGUAAUACUCGCGGUCCAAGUCGCAGCCAUUUUUAUUGGGUCUAAAACAUCCGUAGCUUGCUUAGUAAGUUUCUCGUGAAAUCCUACAUCUCAAGUGUAGGGCGCGCGGUAAGUACUGCUUGGCUAGAGACUGGAAGGCGUAACGAGUACGUUCAAAGUAGCGGUAAAAUGUGUUAAUCUUGGACGGACUAACGAUUAGCGAAGGCACGUUACAAGGACAGUUCUGACAGUAAGGGAUGAAGGCUAGGGGCGCAAAACGGAUUAGAUACCCCUGUAGUC
rnacentral:rRNA from 1 species